AUCUUUGUGCAGUAGCAGUAUCGUAGCCAGAGAGGUUUAUCUGAGGCACAAUAAUUGCUAACUGAAAAAAUUUCCCAAAGUGGAUUAAUUUUAUAAUAAAAAAAUUCAAUUAUUUUAAGCUAAACUAUAG
rnacentral:snRNA from 1 species